rnacentral:rRNA from 1 species
CCUACGGGAGGCAGCAGUGGGGAAUAUUGGACAAUGGGGGGAACCCUGAUCCAGCGACGCCGCGUGAGUGAAGAAGUCUUUCGGUAUGUAAAGCUCUAUCAGCAGGGAAGAAAGAAAUGACGGUACCUGACUAAUAAGCCCCGGCUAACUACGUGCAAGAAGCCUCGGUAAUACGUAGGGGGCAAGCGUUAUCCGAUUUACUGGGUGUAAAGGGAGCGUAGACGGUUACGCAAGUCUGGAGUGAAAGGCGGGGGCUCAACCCCCGGACUGCCUUGGAAACUGUAUAACUAGAGUGCAGGAGAGGUAGGUGGAAUGCCUGGUGUAGCGGUGAAAUGCGUAGAUAUUAGGAGGAACACCAGUGGCGAAGGCGGCUUACUGGACUGUAACUGACGUUGAGGCUCGAAAGCGUGGGGAGCAAACAGGAUUAGAUACCCCUGUAGUC